rnacentral:rRNA from 1 species
GACGAACGCUGGCGGCGUGCUUAACACAUGCAAGUCGAGCGGUAAGGCCCUUUCGGGGGUACACGAGCGGCGAACGGGUGAGUAACACGUGGGUGACCUGCCCUCAGCUCUGGGAUAAGCCUGGGAAACCGGGUCUAAUACUGGAUAUGACUCCAUGACGCAUGGUUGUGGGGUGGAAAGCCUUGUGCGGCUGAGGAUGGGCCCGNGGCCUAUCAG